AUCCAAGCAAAGGCCCGGAUUCCCCAGUAACUGCUACAUCAAAUUUGGACGAUCAAUGUAUUCAGAUAUAAGGACAGUGAAAGUCAGCAAUAUUUCAUUAGCUGCAUCAGAGCAGGACAUCAAAGAAUUCUUCUCUUUCUCUGGUGAUAUUCAAUUAUGUUGAAAUGCAAAGGGAAUCUGAAAAGUCUCAGCUUGCAUAUGUUACAUUCAAGGAUUCACAAGGAACAGAUACAGCAGUGUUCUUUU